ACUCAAAUGAAUUGACGGGGGCCCGCACAAGCGGUGGAGCAUGUUGUUUAAUACGUCACUAACCGUAGAACCUUACCAGGGUUUGACAUCCGCUGCUAUGCUGUGAAAGCAGCCUUCCCCGCAAGGGGACAGCGAGACAGGUGUUGCAUGGCUGUCGUCAGCUCGUGUCGUGAGAUGUUGGGUUAAGUCCCGCAACGAGCGCAACCCUCAUCCCAUGUUGCCAGCGAGUAAAGUCGGGAACUCUUGGGAAACUGCCGGGGUAACUCGGAGGAAGGUGAGGAUGACGUCAAGUCAGCAUGGCCCUUACAUCCUGGGCUACAAACAUGCUACAAUGGACGGUAGACAGAGGGAUCCGAUCCUGUGAAGGGGAGGCAAUCUCAGAAAUCCGUUCUCAGUUCGGAUUGCAGGCUGCAACUCGCCUGCAUGAAGCCGGAAUCGCUAGUAAACGCAGAUCAGCCAAGCUGCGUUGAAUACGUUCCCGGGCCUUGCACACACCGCCCGU
rnacentral:rRNA from 1 species